rnacentral:rRNA from 1 species
UAUCUCUGUAGAGUCUGCAUAUCAAUAAGCGGAGGAAAAGAAACUAACUAGGAUUCCCUUAGUAACGGCGAGUGAAGCGGGAAGAGCUCAAAUUUGAAAUCUUCAAGGUUUUACCUUGACGAAUUGUAGUUUAAAGAAGUGUUUUCUGUUGGAGUUUUGGUAAAAGUUCUUUGGAAUAGGACAUCAUAGAGGGUGAGAAUCCCGUAUUUGACCAUUACUUCCAGCGUUGUGAUACACUUUCAAAGAGUCGGAUUGUUUGGGAAUGCAGUCCAAAAUGGGUGGUAAAUUUCAUCUAAAGCUAAAUAUUGGCGAGAGACCGAUAGCGAACAAGUACCGUGAGGGAAAGAUGAAAAGAACUUUGAAAAGAGAGUUAAACAGUACGUGAAAUUGUCAAAAGGGAAGCGUUUGACACCAGUGUUGUUUUUCUGAAAAUCAAUUGAAGAACUGUUUAUGCUAAGCUGUUUAGACUUUAUCAGCUAUCUGUUUAGUUUUGAGCUUUUCUUUAAUGCACUUUUCAGUUAACAAGUCAACAUCAAUUUCUUUUGCUGUAAAAAAGCUUGAGGAAGGUGGCUUGAGAUUCGUCUUAAGUGUUUAUAGCCUCUUGCCUAUGCAGUCGGAGAGAUUGAGGUCUGCAGCGUAGAUCCUUCGGGGCUAAAUGCAUUUGUGCUAAGUUAUAGCAUUUUAUAGACAACUUGUUGACUAUGAUUUGUCUUGUAGCUUACUCGCUUAUGUUAUUUUACCUACGCUUAGGAUGUUGACGAUCAGCUGAGCGC